UCUCCCCAAAGAGAACCAAUUUUUAACUAAUGUCAUUGUUAGCACUAAUUAAAUUCUAUAGAAAGUGAUGCAAAAGUGGCCGUGAAAUGUCCAUCAAUGACACGCUGGUGGAAUGCGGAGGACGCUGCUAACUCCUUCGGGAAGUAGCAAACAGGAAGAUAAGACCCAAUGAAAAAACUCAAACAGUCAAACAGGUGGAAGCGGAUGUAAAGUUUGUCGAGAGUGAUAGAGAUGUACACAUAAUAACUAUCCAAAGUCCGGUGCAGAGUGAAAGUUUCACUGUCUGGAGAAUUUGUGAUUUUCCCAAUAUUAAGACGAGUUAUUAGAAGGAAGCAUCGAUUGUCAAUGCUUUUAUCAUGAUUUUAGUGAGAGACUGCAUAAGUGAUCCGCGAUGCUAAAUGAAAUAUCUAGCUUACCAGCUAGUACAUUUUAUAAAUCAAGAGUUCAAGGAAAAUUAGGAACUUUGGCAGGUGAAAGUGUGAAACACCAUAGGCAGUGUCAAUGGUAACGGAGAAGAUUUAGGCUGCCUGAGAAAAUAAAGGUCAAUUGACAGUCACAACAUACAAACUAAGUAUUUUUUAUUUCUU